AGGGAUCAUUACCGAGUUUACAACUCCCAAACCCCUGUGAACAUACCUUACUGUUGCCUCGGCGGAUCAGCCCGCUCCCGGUAAAACGGGACGGCCCGCCAGAGGACCCCUAAACUCUGUUUCUAUAUGUAACUUCUGAGUAAAACCAUAAAUAAAUCAAAACUUUCAACAACGGAUCUCUUGGUUCUGGCAUCGAUGAAGAACGCAGCAAAAUGCGAUAAGUAAUGUGAAUUGCAGAAUUCAGUGAAUCAUCGAAUCUUUGAACGCACAUUGCGCCCGCCAGUAUUCUGGCGGGCAUGCCUGUUCGAGCGUCAUUUCAACCCUCAAGCCCUCGGGUUUGGUGUUGGGGAUCGGCGAGCCUUUCUGGCAAGCCGGCCCCGAAAUCUAGUGGCGGUCUCGCUGCAGCCUCCAUUGCGUAGUAGUAAAACCCUCGCAACUGGAACGCGGCGCGGCCAAGCCGUUAAACCCCCAACUUCUGAAUGUUGACCUCGGAUCAGGUAGGAAUACCCGCUGAACUUAA
rnacentral:sRNA from 1 species